rnacentral:snoRNA from 1 species
UUGCCUAUGGGAUGAACAGAUCUCUGUAUUUAUGACCAUUUUUUCACUUAGUCAGCUGUAGCUGAUCAUUUGAAUGUUUCACUUAGUCAGCUGUAGCUGAUCAUUUGAAUGGGAAAUGA